rnacentral:misc_RNA from 1 species
AAUGAAUAUAAUUAUGAACCAAUCAGUGUCCACCAAACCACGUGGUUCUCUGUUGUCUUUUUUCUCUCUCGCGUUAGGGAGAUGAUCGGACGAGCGAAAUGACCGUUAAUCUCUAUUCAUGGGGAGCCAACAGCUACGGUCAGCUGGGGCUUGGAAAUCAAGACGAUCAUCUCUUACCACAGAAAGUUGUCCUCCCUGAAACCUCGGAUGGCACCAUAUUGAACCAGCCAGUGGCCGAUAGGAUCAAAUCAAUAACUGGAGGGGGAGGUCACUCCAUCAUUAUUCAGGAUGAUGGAAGUUUAUUUACAUGUGGAAACAACUGUAACGGCCAGCUUGGUUUGAAUCACUACAAUAAUAUAGCGGCAUUCACACGAGUGAAUCUGCCGGCAGUCAUUCUCCAAGCCUCUGCUGGAUGGGAUUUUACAGUCGUUCUCUCAGACAGGGGAGAAGUAUUUGCAUUUGGCUCCAAUGAAUUUGGACAACUUGGUUUUCAUCCUAAAGAGCUGCAGAAAUCCACUGUACCUGUAGGUAAAGGUGACUUUGCCAGCUGUGAAUGGAAAUAUAGUGGACAUAGCUACCGGUCUCCGUCAUACGGCAGUCCUAACAGCCGAAGGGAAGAUCUUCUGUUGGGGAACGAGAAGAAAAAUCAAGGAUGAAGAAUUACUGAACCAAAUGAUAACGAAGUCUUUAGAGACACCUGUUCUAGAGCCACAGGAUGGAUACAAGUUUGUGAGGAUAUCUGCUGGCUCAUUUCAUACUUUGGCACUCACAGAGAAUGGUAACUUAUGGUGUUUUGGAACAUUCAAAUACGGAGUUGCAACUCAUCAUAAUCCCCCACCUGGGCAUUCCAUGUUGGUUUACGCUAUUUCCAAAUCUUUGUUUGAUGGUCCAAUAGUUAAAAUCGCUUGUGGUUGGACACACUGCCUUGUCCAGUCAGCCAGUGAAAAAUUUUUUUCAUGGGGAAGAGGAGAUUAUGGUCAGCUAGGAAGAUCAUGUGACCAAUCACAUGAUAGCAAUCCACAACCAAUAGAAGAUCUACAAUGUGUGAAUUCCUUGAGAUGUGGAUCUGAGCAUAACUUAGCCAUAACAGAUGAUGGAAAAUUAUUCACCUGGGGUUGGAAUGAGCAUGGAAUGUGUGCCACUGGAGAUGAAAACAAUGUUGUCCGACCGACACAAGUGAGGGCUGUGUCGAACCUUCUUUCUGUUGACGGUGGGGCUGGUGCUGGACAUUGCUUCAUUCUUUGUCAAGACAAAGACUGAAAAUAGAGCUAGAAUGGCCAGGCUAUUGGCCCUGUCACAGAAGGGCAUAGUUCUUGAGUGGAAUACACAAGACUAGAUCAGCUGUGAAAAGAGGACAGAAUUAAUUUCCCUUUAGUUGAUUGUGGUCCAGCUGAUUUCGUGACCUCUUAUCCUGAAUCUAUUGCAACUAUACCCCCCACCUCCAACAUAAAGAGAGAUGGUUUAAAAACAUUCUUAAAAUGCUAUCAUGAUUUUGAAGAUCAAUACAGUAUAACUAGCAUGUAAGAAGACUUUACUUUUUCUAAAGUGAAAUUAGAUAAGGGGCUAUUGCAUUGAAGCAAAACAUGAUCAGCUUCUGGCCUGUUUUCUCUGUCACUGAAAAAACGAAUCUGAAUAAAUUUUGAUUUAAAAUGAUAUAAAAAAA